GAUGAACGCUGGCGGCGUGCCUAAUACAUGCAAGUCGAGCGAACAGAUGAGGAGCUUGCUCCUCUGACGUUAGCGGCGGACGGGUGAGUAACACGUGGAUAACCUACCUAUAAGACUGGGAUAACUUCGGGAAACCGGAGCUAAUACCGGAUAAUAUAUUGAACCGCAUGGUUCAAUAGUGAAAGACGGUUUUGCUGUCACUUAUAGAUGGAUCCGCGCCGCAUUAGCUAGUUGGUAAGGUAACGGCUUACCAAGGCAACGAUGCGUAGCCGACCUGAGAGGGUGAUCGGCCACACUGGAACUGAGACACGGUCCAGACUCCUACGGAAGGCAGCAGUAGGGAAUCUUCCGCAAUGGGCGAAAGCCUGACGGAGCAACGCCGCGUGAGUGAUGAAGGUCUUCGGAUCGUAAAACUCUGUUAUUAGGGAAGAACAAAUGUGUAAGUAACUAUGCACGUCUUGACGGUACCUAAUCAGAAAGCCACGGCUAACUACGUG
rnacentral:rRNA from 1 species